rnacentral:rRNA from 1 species
AACGAAGGGGGCUAGCGUUGUUCGGAAUUACUGGGCGUAAAGAGCGCGUAGGCGGCUUUAUAAGUUAGGUGUGAAAGCCCCGUGCUUAACCUUGGAACAGCACUUAAUACUGUAAAGCUAGAGUGUGAUAGAGGAUGAUGAAAUUCCUAGUGUAGAAGUGAAAUUCGUAGAUAUUAGGAGGAACACCAGUGGCGAAGGCGGUCAUCUGGGUCACAACUGACGCUAAGGCGCGAAAGCGUGGGGAGCAAACAGG